CAGAGGUGGGUGGAGAACUUUUGUCUGAACAGCUCUUCACUGGAAAUAGGAGGGCAGGAGAUGGAAAAUCAGCAGGAAGGGCUUUCGGGAUGGUUGUUCAUCUAUGGGCACCAAAGACUGUAAGAAAGGACCAGCCUUUGCUUGGCUUAAUUCAGUGUGGAUUAGUCAACUGAUAUUCUGCUCAUCCUGCUCCACAAGGACAAGUAAUUCAGUAUAAUGAUUAUAUUCUGAUAUAAUUGUUAUUUCAGGACCAAAGGUAUUCAAGGUCAGUGAUCAGAUGCCUCUGAUAACAUCUCUGACUUAUGGCACUGCACAAAAGUUCUGAAGAUGACUAAACAGCUCUUCACAUCUUUUUGAUAUGGUUCGCCAAGGAGACCCGUCCUUGAAUACUCAGUAAAAAGACUGUUCUCAGCUGUCCAUCAGCUCAGAUGCCCUUUCAACUUCCUUCUCCUGCCACCCAGAAGCAAUGUCCUUGCCUUCCACAGAGGAUGCCUCUUUCAAGGAUAUUGCCCUACAGCUCCAUACCAGGUCGAUGAUUU